rnacentral:tRNA from 1 species
GGUCCAGUGGCUUAGCUUGGUAAGCGAGUAUAGGAUUUCUCAGCUUGGUCACCAGCGCAGGUCUUAUAAGCCUGACAUCGUGGGUUCAAAAUAAGUUUCUAUUUAAGAAAUAAAUGGAAAUCCCACCUGGACCA